rnacentral:rRNA from 1 species
UACGAAGGGGGCUAGCGUUGCUCGGAAUUACUGGGCGUAAAGGGCGCGUAGGCGGCUUGGUCAGUCAGGCGUGAAAUUCCUGGGCUUAACCUGGGGACUGCGCUCGAUACGGCCAGGCUUGAGGAUGGAAGAGGGUCGCGGAAUUCCCAGUGUAGAGGUGAAAUUCGUAGAUAUUGGGAAGAACACCGGUGGCGAAGGCGGCGACCUGGUCCAUUACUGACGCUGAGGCGCGACAGCGUGGGGAGCAAACAGG